GGAAGCCCCGCCGGCCCUGCACCGCUCCCGCCCCGCGCCGCGGCUCCGGCGCUGGUAAAGUGCAGAUCACAGAACUGUAAUGUGGGUCUCCCUACAUAUGUCUUGUGCCUCAAAGCUACAAAUAAGGCUGACCUGCUUAUCCAGGAUGAAUUCACCAGUGCCUAAAUGUCUAGCUGUUUUCCAGCAUAUCCAGUGGAGUAUGGCUUUGGGGCAACUUUAGGGGUUGCUCUCCAGAAUGCAAUGCUGCUGCUGUGUCCCCUUAUCUCCCAUCCUCAUAAUUCCUCAAUUUUACCUCAGCGUAAGUCCCAGGAGAAGAAACAACUGACUAAACAGAAUUAUCUCAGGAGGAGAGCAGCCUUCAAGGUCAGCACAGGCUGUUUUUGUACAUUCUACAUCAUGUUUUAAUUCAGUUUGUUUCCCUGUGUUCAGAAGCAAUUGAUAGCACUUAUCCAGACUGGAUGUUUUUGUGAAGACUUGUACUGAAACACAGAGACCCAAAUGCAUAAUUUCACAUGGCACAGGAUCACAUUAGAAGGCAACACCAGCAGAAUGAAGGCAAUGCUGAUGCUGUGUCAAGUCAACCAUGGGACAAGGUUCACACAUUCAGAAUUAUUGCUUCAUUAUGCAUAGGCAACUGAAUACUGCAGUGCUGGCAUUCACAGAUUUAUGCUGAUGCUCUAAUUGGUUGCUCAGCUUUAAUUAUAGGCAAACGUGGCAGGAGCAUGCAUGAAAAUGAAGUCUUUGUUGCAGAGGUGCUUGGAGAGUGAGUGUUCCAGCAGCAAUCACCAGCAAGUGGCCGCCACCACCACCAGAAACAUCCCACCUUUCCAAAGACACUGAAGCCAAGAAGCCAGUAGGAUACCUGGCAGUGAGAAGAUGGGCACAGAGAAACACAGGCUCCUCCUCCACACAACUCAUUCCUAGUGGACAGUCAAGCAUCAUUCUGGGGGGAAGGUGUUGGAGAGGGAGAUGAGGUAGCUCCAAGCUGAAGGUCCAGAGCCAAAACACUACUUUGGUGUCUCCACUUGGCACAUGCUGCCAUGUACUGGUGUGCACAACACCCUCCUCACUCUGUAUGCAUGGCUUUUGCCAUCUCCCACUUCGGAACAAAGAGUCACCAUGGCACUUAGUGCUUACUGCAGCUUCUGACAAACUGAAUCCUGGCAAAAUUGAAUCCUGGCUCUGAAAAAGGAGAACUUUACCCACAGAGAAAAUUUUCUGGCCACCCCUGUGGCAUCCUGCAGACUCUGCUGGAGGUUCAGGUAAUGCCUUAAGGAACUCUAUGAAGAGUAUAAUCUGUGAAUG